ACAAACUGACAAAUGCUGAAGGCCAGCUGUGUUUUGCUCCAACCAGAGCAUCCAUUAAUCUACAGGGAAUAUGAACCUUGACACCAAUUACAAAACAGUAACCUGCCAAUCUUCCUCUUUGGGUAUAUAUUCCAUUCACUCAUCCUCACUGGUAAUCCAAAUAUCCCCAUCUCCAGCGAUAAAAACUCAGUGCAAACAUGCAAAACAUCCACAAUCCAUCCCAUCAAGAGCUCUUAUAGCAAAAGUGAACGAUCACCCUCAGCACAGU